CCCGUCUCGCCCUGCCACCACCCUGUGAGGAUACCGUGAAAAGGCAGCUAUCAGAAAACCAGGAAGAGUGCCCUCAUCAAGCCCUCAACCAUACUGGCCUCCUGAUCUCAAGACUACCAGACUCCAGAAAUGUGAAAGUUUUCACUUUAUUGUUUAGAAUUCGUGGAUUUAAAUGGCAUCAUGAAGUUAAAGAAUGUGCUGCUUCCUAGUGAGGAAUUAUUCAAAGACAACCUGAAUAUAUUCAUUAGAUGAGGAAACUGAAACACACAGAGGUUAAGAAGCUUCUUCAAGAUUGUUAAAAAGUCUUCAGGGUUUAUAUUUUAUACAACACUAUUCGACAAGAAAACCAACGCUCCCAACCACUAAUCUAUGGUGCAAAUUGGAGAGAAAAAAAAAAAGGUUAAUGUUCUGGAGAGUAGGAAGUCCAAGAUCAAGGCACCAGCAGGACCAGAGUCUGAUGAAGGCCCUUUCCUCAUAAAUGACAUCAUCUAGGUGUCCUCACAUGGCUGAAGAGCGAAAAAGGGAUGAACACCGUGUCCAGAUCUCUCAUGGUCUAAUCACCUCCUAAAGGCCCCACCUCUUAAAAACUGUUCCAUUGGAGAUUAGCUUUCAACAUGAAUUUUGGAGGUACACAGAUAUUCAAACCAUAGUACUUGCUGAGAUUUUCCUAAAAUCUGCUAAAAUAUCAUUUAAAUUUGGACUAUGUAUUGUGUUUAUUGUGUUGGUCAGUGCAUUUUUUGGGAUCUCCUUACUACUCUAUGCAUUACGGUUUUUAUUUUACUUAUGUAACAUUAAAACAUGCCCUUCAAAAUACUCUGUAGUUACAUUUUAUCUUUCUUCACCUUCUAACACAAGAACAUGGAUCUUCAAAAUCUCCACUUACAAGUUUAAACAUGU
rnacentral:lncRNA from 10 species